rnacentral:lncRNA from 1 species
GGCGCGCGGCGAUGUGAGCCAUGAGCGCGACGUGGACACUGUCCCCCGAGCCGCUGCCGCCGUCGACGGGGCCCCCGGUGGGCGCGGGCCUGGACGCGGAGCAGCGCACCGUGUUCGCCUUCGUGCUGUGCCUGCUCGUGGUGCUGGUGCUGCUGAUGGUGCGCUGCGUGCGCAUCCUGCUCGACCCCUACAGCCGCAUGCCCGCCUCGUCCUGGACCGACCACAAGGAGGCGCUCGAGCGCGGGCAGUUCGACUACGCGCUGGUCUGAGCCGGGGCGACCCGGGCCUGCCCUCCGCAGGGUCUCCCCCGGCUGCCCGACCGGGGCGCUCGGGAUCCCGCCUCGGAGCCCGGCCCGAGGGGGCGGGGGCGUUAGGAGAAGUCCAGCCCCUCCCCGCUCAGACCCUCCCAUCUUCCCUCCUGGCCAGGCCGGAGCCCCACUUCGUGCCUUUGUCCCGCCCUGUUGUCGCUCCGUAACCCACCGGCCCCGGGUGGGAAGAGGACCCGCCCCGCCCCGCCUCAGCGUGUAGGUGGCUCUGCUAUUGUCCUGCCGCCGAGCAUGAGUGUCAUGGCCGUUCCUGGAUGUGGGGACCCUCCUGUACCCCCUCCCCGCCCUGUCGUCUGGCCAUCCUCACUCCCCCGCCCCCCGUAAGCGUGGAGCCCCUCCCCGGGCUCCGGCCCUGCGGGGCAGGCUCUCCUGGGCCCACGGGUGGACGCUGCAUACCAAUGUGCGCUGCGCAGCCUGCCCCGGAGACCGAGCCUGAAGAGCGACAGCGGCUGCUGUGUCCAGGAUGCGUCAGCGCCCCCUCCCUCUGUCACCGCUUCCGCCCCUCCUUGGCCCUCCUGCCACUUCGCCCUGAUCCCUCUUGCCAUCCCCUCACGGGCCUCCCCAUGCCUUCUCAUUCCCCGCCUCUGAGUGAUGGUGACAAUAAAAGCUAUUGUUGAGCGCUUACUACCUGCCAAGCAGCGUGCUAAGUUAGCGCCUCGCCUCGGGCGCAUGGCCUGUGCCCUCUUCAGGGCUCAGACGGCGAGCCCGUUAGCAUCCCCGUUCCACAGGCUAGGAGACUGAGGCCCAGGCAGCUUGAGUGACUUGCCCAUGCCAAGUGCCUGGAUUCUGGCCGGGCUGGCAUUUGAACCUGG